rnacentral:tRNA from 2 species
GGUGGAUUCGUCUAACGGUUAGGACGCAUGCCUCUCACGCAUGAAAUACGAGUUCGAUUCUCGUAUCCACUACAA